rnacentral:rRNA from 1 species
GAUGAACGCUGGCGGCGUGCCUAAUACAUGCAAGUCGAGCGAACAGACGAGGAGCUUGCUCCUCUGACGUUAGCGGCGGACGGGUGAGUAACACGUGGAUAACCUACCUAUAAGACUGGGAUAACUUCGGGAAACCGGAGCUAAUACCGGAUAAUAUAUUGAACCGCAUGGUUCAAUAGUGAAAGACGGUUUUGCUGUCACUUAUAGAUGGAUCCGCGCCGCAUUAGCUAGUUGGUAAGGUAACGGCUUACCAAGGCGACGAUGCGUAGCCGACCUGAGAGGGUGGUCGGCCACCCUGGAACUGGGACACGGUCCAGACUCCUACGGGAGGCAGCAGUAGGGAAUCUUCCGCAAUGGGCGAAAGCCUGACGGAGCAACCCCGCGUGAGUUAUGAAGGUCUUCGGAUCGUAAAACUCUGUUAUUAGGGAAGAACCAAUUUGUAAGUAACUAUGCACGUCUUGACGGUACCUAAUCAGAAAGCCACGGCUAACUACGUG